AUUGAACGCUGGCGGCAGGCCUAACACAUGCAAGUCGAACGGUAACAGGAAGAAGCUUGCUUCUUUGCUGACGAGUGGCGGACGGGUGAGUAAUGUCUGGGAAACUGCCUGAUGGAGGGGGAUAACUACUGGAAACGGUAGCUAAUACCGCAUAACGUCGCAAGACCAAAAAGGGGGACCUUCGGGCCUCUUGCCAUCGGAUGUGCCCAGAUGGGAUUAGCUAGUAGGUGGGGUAACGGCUCACCUAGGCGACGAUCCCUAGCUGGUCUGAGAGGAUGACCAGCCACACUGGAACUGAGACACGGUCCAGACUCCUACGGGAGGCAGCAGUUGGGAAUAUUGCACCAUGGGCGCAAGCCUGAUGCAGCCAUGCCGCGUGUAUGAAGAAGGCCUUCGGGUUGUAAAGUUCUUUCAGCGGGGAGGAAGGGAGUAAAGUUAAUACCUUUGCUCAUUGACGUUACCCGCAGAAGAAGCACCGGCUAACUCCGUG
rnacentral:rRNA from 1 species